UGGACAGAUUAUUGUAUUCGACUGUAUUUGACUGUAUUCACGGCGUGAAACAGGGGAUUACACUGUUUUUAAACGAAAAGUAAAUCAAUUAACAUAAUAGACUCCU
rfam:Nicotiana sylvestris Nsyl_contig37140, whole genome shotgun sequence.